rnacentral:lncRNA from 1 species
CUCUUCUGCGUAGGCAGAGGGGGGCUUGUAGCAAUUUAAAGUGCAGAGUGAGACUUGUUCUUACUGCUGUGUUAGAUAGAUAUGUGUCACCAUCUAGUGGUCAAAAGAAGAGUUGCUACGUAAGAAGAUUAAAUGUUGGUGUUGACCAAAUUAGGACAUACAAACGUACAACUUUGCCAGUCUGUAUAUUAUUUUCAAGAUGUGCAGUACACGGUUUUAGUGCAAACUGCUGCAUUGUUAUGGUGCUGUGAUGACUUUAAUUCACCAAUACUAGCUUUUCAUCUUCAGCCCUUACACUGGUGCUAAUGUGUGUUGCACAAACAGGUGAGUCUGCAUGCAUGCUGAUCACAGUUAUUUUAUCAGAUCACAUUGAUGAAGCUCAUGAAUUAUUAUUAUUAUUAAAAAACAUAUACUAUUAUGAUUUCAAUUAUUGACAGCACUUGAUGUAUGUAUUUCACUAAUGUUAUUUGUUUUCUGGAUAAAUAUCGCCACCAAGUGUUCAUUUAAAUGCUGCAAGAGAGAUGUCCAGCAUUGCUCUGUAGUCUAGGUGAUACCUUUCAGCUGUGAUUGGUAACUUUCUUUAUUUUAACUUUCAUGAAAAUGUACUUUAAAUUGAUCAAUAAAAGGAAGAGAUGAAAGGUAUGCUUGAAAGAUUAUUGCUCUAACCUUCAUUGUGAGUUGUUAUAGUGGUUUCAUGAUUUUGUGCCUGUCUAAAUCACAGGGCAUCCCAGGACCUCUGGGCUCACAGGGGCCCAAUGGCCCACCUGGACGUGAGGGGGACCCUGGCAUUGAGGGGGCGAAAGGACAGAAAGGGGACUAUGGAAGAACAGGCGUCACUGGCCUUAAAGGAUCUGUGGGAAUGACAGGAAUUCCAGGUUUUUCAGGAGGCAAUGGCAUUCCAGUAAGUACUGCCCCCUUGUGUCUUGGAGUAUUUUAUUUCACUGCACUACUAGUUCGCCCAGUGGGCUUUGCUUUUAGAUGUUUUCAUACCAGCACUCCUCAGUGGGAAACGAGACCUGGAACUUGUUCAUUUCUAACCUCUGAUGUCCUCUCUGACGUCCAGGGACACCCAGGACAAGGCGGUCCGCGGGGGAAACCGGGUGCAGACGGCUGCAACGGGACGAGGGGAGACGGGGGGUUGCCAGGGACAUCAGGCACCUCGGGCAGAUCAGGAUAUCCGGUAUGUGCCAGUCUGCCUCAGCCAGGCCUGUAG